rnacentral:tRNA from 1 species
AGUAGAUAAGCAUUUGACUGCUAAACAAAAGAUUGGUGGUUCAAACCCACCAGCUGCUC